UGUGGAACAGCAGCCCCCCACAGAAGGGAGGCAGGUCUAAACCUUAAGAUGAAUCCUCAGUCAACACCAAUCCUCGGGGCUACCAGUGGAGACACACCUGGGAACCACUCGACUACUGACCCAAAGGUACCCUCCCCAGGGCUGCUCAGGACCAGUGUGCAGAACACAGCUCCUGUCAGAGGACAAGCAACUGAUGUCGCAAGUCACUGGCUAUGCCUGAGAUGAACCAUGGCUUCAUUGCAAGAUCUCUGGGCAAAGAUGGCAACCUGUGACAGGACCGGAACGUCCAUGCUCGAGGCCUCUUGGGAAGGGACCUGCUUUCAGAGUGGAAGUAACAGCCUGGUACAGCAGAUACUCUUGGGACAGUGCCACAAGCACCUCCCGUUUAUAAGCACCCCUGUAACAUGUCAAAUGUUCCGUGUCACAGUGUCCCGUCUCUAACGAGCCCCAAGUCCAUCCAUGGAUGAUGGCCAUAGCACCUCUGCUUGCAGCUUCCAGCCUAGACUCUGUGACAGGGCUGCUGACAUGUUAGUGUCACUUGUGGAAGUCCCAGACACACCUUUGUGGAGCUGUGCCUGGACAUCAGAGUUUCCAGAGUCUCUGGAGCAGUUGGUGAUGCUGGUCUUGAACUCGGAGCAGAAGGGGAAAGGAGUUAAAGACCAAGAGUGACCCAGGCAGGAGCCCAGCCAGGGUAGCUCAGCUGUCACUCCGGCCUAAACUGUUUGCGCUUUCUCCGCCGCUGCACGGCCUGGUGCAUGGCCUCCCGCAGCCGAUCCUGGUUGUUGCAGAUGUUGUAAUGCGUCAGCCGUAACAGCUUGUCCACAUCUUCCUGGCUGUAGGUCACUUUUGUGUAGUGGUAUGGGGAGUCAGAAGAAGACAGAUUCACCUCCCCAGCUGCCUUCUCCUCCGAUGUCCG
rnacentral:lncRNA from 1 species